rnacentral:rRNA from 1 species
GAUGAACGCUGGCGGCGUGCUUAACACAUGCAAGUCGAACGAGGAUUUAACGGAAUGCGAUUCGUCAAAUGAAAUUAAAUCCGAGUGGCGGACGGGUGAGUAACGCGUGGAUAACCUGCCUCACACAGGGGGGACAACAGUUGGAAACGACUGCUAAUACCGCAUAACACAAGUAAUUCGCAUGAAUAACUUGCCAAAGAUUAUAUCGGUGUGAGAUGGAUCCGCGUCUGAUUAGCCAGUUGCGGGUAACGGCCCACCAAAGCGACGAUCAGUAGCCGACCUGAGAGGGUGACCGGCCACAUUGGGACUGAGACACGGGCCC